GGGGAGGUUUGGCACCUCGAUGUCGGCUCGUCGCAUCCUGAGGCUGUAGCAGGUCUCAAGGGUUGGUCUGUUCGCCCAUUAAAGCGGCACGUGAGCUGGGUUCAGAACGUCGUGAGACAGUUCGGUCCGUAUCCGAUGUAAACGUAAGAAUAUUGUAAAGUAUUUCCUUUAGUACGAGAGGACCAAGGAGAUUAAACCUAUAGUAGUUCAGUUAUUUUAUCAUAAGUAUUUUACUGAGUAGCUAAGUUUAAUAAAAAUAACUACUGAAAGCAUAUAAGUAGGAAAAAACUUUAAGAUUAAUAUUCUGUUCAUAAGAUUGAGUAAGAAUUUAAAAAGAACAUUUAUUAAAAAGAAAAAUUGUAUAAAAAUAGUAAUGUUUUUAGCAAAUUUUUGCUUUUAAUUCGAAGAUAAAUUUUUU
rnacentral:rRNA from 1 species